rnacentral:lncRNA from 1 species
UGCCUCUGCCGAUGCGAUGACGUAAGAAGAAUCUCCUGGGACAAUUUCAAUCUUGUGACCUACCCACUGGACCAAGCACUGGUGCAUUGUAGAUGGGAUGCAACAAUUGGCAUGAAUCCAAUCUCUUGCAAACAGCAAGUUAUGUGCACCCUUUCCACUGAUCAAAAAGAAGGUUGUCGGCAAGGUUUUGCUGCCGAUGGUCAACUCAACGCAUAUUGCUCCCUU